rnacentral:lncRNA from 1 species
UAAAUAAUUUUUGUAGCGUAAAAGGUAAAUAAAUUCAUACAUACUAUAAUACAAAUAACCAAAAUAUAAAAUUUAAUUUACAGUGACACGUGGGCCCACGAACGAUCAAAAGUAUCAAAAGCGGUAAACCUACAGUUUUUUGAGGAUGCAAGUCCAACUGUAGCCCUAAACAAAGUGAGAUAUCUACCGACUAUCUUGAGCCUAAAAUGGGUGAAAAUGAGGGUGAUGAGAUUAUAUAAUCCCAGUGAGUAAACAAAUACCAUCUAAAAUAUCUAAGGCUGAGUAAAUGGAGACAGAUAAAAUAGUUUAACAUACUGUAAUUCAUCACCUUUCAACUCAUUUCAACCAAAUAAAAUCAAUUCAUAUAAAUCGAGUAAUCAACAUGGCUUAUGAAUUUCUUAAAACUUUGGCUCUUGUCAAAAUCAUUCUCAUACUCAGUUAUCAAGGAUACCUUGGCCGAGGGCUAUCCCAACCGAGUCCGCCAAGGCUGUUAAAAAGUUAUGUACGCAUAAAUCAUGUUUUUAUUUUGAAAACAUAGCCAUUCCUUGGCGUUGGCUGAGUUCAACCUCACGUGGUGGUUUGGCAUGAAGUGAACUCUAAAGUGUUAACCUCAGGAGUUAUCCAUCCGAGCCUCCAUGCUGAGGUAAGAAUAUAAUAGGGUUACCGUGCCCCCUCUAAUAGGCUGGUCCACGGAACCCGUCCACUGCAGCGACUAAUCAAUAACCCACCAAUUCAAUAAAAUUUAACAGCAUGACAUGGCAAUUUUAUCAUUAUCCAGCCUAUCAAGGAAAACAACAGUUUAUACAUUUUCAACACAAAUACCAAUUCAGCCAUUCAUGCUAAUAUUGCCAUAAGCCAAUCAAUUAGAACCAUAAAUUCACAAUACAUCAAAUGGUCUCCAAUUACUCUGUUUUCAAAGCCAUCAUUCAAUUUCAAGACAAUUUAUAAAAUCAUUUCAUUUAAACACAUUUUGUUUAUAAAACAUAAAGAUUUACCAUUUAAACUGAUUUUCCAUAAAAUCACAAAAUCAGAUAAAAAUCACUUUAGAUAAUUAAGACGAUAGUAAGGUUACUCACUAUUUCGGGAGUCGAAUUCCGAGUACUCCGAUUCUAGAUCCUUGGGUACUAUCUCUUUACUUUUGUCAGAAUGCUCACCACCUAGACAUAAUGCACAAUAAGCCAUUUACUACAUUUGUGCUAAAUUAUUAUAAAACCAAUUCAAGCUCUAUACUAAUGCAUGAAAUGGGAUGUGAAUUGUUCGGAUAUCGUCUAAACAUGGUGUUCUACACAAAUUCAAUUGUGUACCUAAAUAAAAUAAUAUUGGCCUAAUUCUAUCUAUCACCCGAUUAAUUGGCCAAUACGUCUAAUUCAACUCCAAAUAAUUCCAUUUUUCUCCCAAUACUCCAAACCAUCAAACACAAAUUAAAUAACUUGAAAUAUGGCAAAAUCAUCUUCACAUUUUCUCUUGGGAAUUUCGGCCAUGGUGGGUGCACUAACAAUAUAAUUUUUCAAGCUUGAUUCUCACACCAUAAAUCACUAAUUCCUAACCAAAUCACUUGAAAUAAAAUCAAAAUCAUCAUCAAUAUUCCACAUGGAGAAUUCAGCCAAUGAUGGGUGAUGGAAGAACAUGAAUUUUUCUUACUUGAUUUUCAUGCUACACAUCACCAAUCAACUAAAAACACUAAAAUACAUUGAAAUCUAACCAAAUUAAGCAUCAAAACCUCUCUCUAAGUGUUUAGCCAGCAAGAUAAUUAUCAUGAAAUCAUGUGAUUCAACCAUGGAAAAUGCAAAAGAAUGCAUGGGAAAGGUAGAUCACAAGUCAAAAUCAAGAAAUUUUACCUUUGAUUGCUUGAUUACUUGAAAUCCACCAAUUUUCUCUUGAAUUUUCACCCUAGGGUUCUUGUUCUUUCUUUUCUUCCUUUGUUCUUGCUUUGGCCGGCCAUAUGAAG